rnacentral:rRNA from 1 species
GAUGAACGCUGGCGGCGUGCUUAAUACAUGCAAGUCGAGCGAACGGACGCGGAGCUUGCUUUGCUGACGUUAGCGGCGGACGGGUGUGUAACACGUGGAUCACCUACCUAUCAUACUGGGAUAACUUCGGGACACCGGAUCUUAUACCGUAUAAUAUUUUGCACCACAUUGUUCAUCAGUAAGUUACGGUCUUGCUGUCUGUUAUCGAUGGAUCCGCGCUUGAUUAGCUAGUUGGUAAGGUAAAGGCUUAUCAAGGCAACGAUGCCUAGCCGACCUGAGAGGGUGAUCGGCCACACUGGAACGGAGACACGGUCCAGACUCCUACGGGAGGCAGCAGUAGGGAAUCUUCCGCAAUGGGCGAAAGCCUGACGGAGCAACGCCGCGUGAGUGAUGAAGGUCUUCGGAUCGUAAAACUCUGUUAUUAGGGAAGAACAUAUGUGUAAGUAACUGUGCACAUCUUGACGGUACCUAAUCAGAAAGCCACGGCUAACUACGUG